UGUUAUGGCCUUUUUUUAAAAAACGUUGUUUCAAAACGAUUUUCAAAAUAUUUUGUAAGCAACUCAUUUAAAAAAGCACGCGUGCUAGGUGUAUUCACAUAUUUCUCCUUUUUUAGCCCACGCGUUUCUCUCAGUCCCGAGAUAGAUCUAGGGUUUUCUUCAUCACUCCUCUUUCGUAUGGUGAAAGUUCACUACAUUGAGCAUCGUAGGCUUCGAUUCACGAUCGUAAUCUCUAUCCGGCUCUCUCCAUCUUGGCUCAAAGCUCUCGAUCAGUCCGAUUUGAAGAUUAAUUUUGUGAGUCUCAUUUUCUAAUUUUUUGAUUUUGUUUAUGUACGCAACUCAGAUCUUUAUCUACGAUCUCAGAUCUGUAUCUACAAUCUCAGAUUUGUUUGAUAUAUAUACACUAAUUUAUUUUAAAGAGAACAUAGAUCGAUUAUCGAUCGAUCGAUUGAUCUACGAUCUCAAAGCAUAUUAACAUCCUCAAAUCGACUCUAUUUCUGACUUGUUCGUGGUGAUCUUUGUUGGUCUAUCACAUUAAUCAACAUUGAUUUCUUUCUGAAUGGUUGUGGUUUUGUACAGUACAGGUUCUGUGUGUUUUUUCUAAUGAUCUGUAAGCUUUUUCUUAUGGUGAUCUGUAAGUUUUUUCUUAUGGUGAAAGUUCACAAAAAUGUUUGUUGGUCCAUUACAUUAAUCAACAUUGACUUCAUCUUUCUGAAUGGUUGUGGUUUUGUACAGUACAAGUUCUAUGAGUGUUGGUUUUUGUGCGUAAUUGACUGGUAAAGUGCGACUGAGAAAUUUUGGAGUUUGCUUCUUCCUCUUAUAUAUGAAAAUGGAAGAUAUGACCUUGGAUAUUCUUGUUCUUGUUCUUCUCGCCUCUCAAGGAUUCAAGAAGAUAGUCACUGAAUUCCUUUAGUAAGUGGGUUUUCAAGGAUUUUGCUUGUAGUGUUGUAAAUGGGAAAACACUAGUGGACCAAAGAUAUUGAUGAGCAAAUUGGGGAUAAUCAGCCAGGCUGUGUGUGGGGUGCCCUUCAUGCCCUUGACUAUCAUCACUGGCAUUACAAUGUUAAAAAGCUGCUACCCCACAAGAAGCAUAAUGGACCAAGACAUGUGAAAGGUAAGUGAUAUGAAUUUGCACUGUGCUUUCUUCUUCUUGGUGAUUAUGGAUGACAUACAAGGUUAGAAGUCCAGAUUUGGUGCUCUAUUUAUUAUUUUGGUCUUUGUAGAACCUUUGAUUUUUCCUAACUCUUCAAUUCUAGUUACUUUUAUUAGACUCAUCAAAUACACAAAUUUAUACUUUAUGCUAAGAAUUUGUUUGGAUUUUUACUUUUUUUUCCCCCUCUUUUUCUUACUAGUUAUGUUUGGAGAUUAAUUUCCUCAAUAGAGCUACUGUGGAUAAUUUCACAUGCGGAUUCUGAUGUUAGCAUUUCUUUUCCAAACUCAUGUUCAAAUGUUUUCAUUUUUUUUUUUGGGCUGAAAAUGUUAAAUUAGAAAAGAAACUAAAGUCUGUGGAAAUUUACUCCAUUCAAUAGUUUCAACUUCCAACUAGAAAUGAUGAAUUCUGCCAUGGGAUGGUUGAAGGAGUGAGGAACUGUAACUGUUGAGAGUGGUCUAUUUUGCUUGAUUUUGAGUCCUUCAAAUAAGAGAAAUAAGAGAUCUUUUAAAGGGGUAUAAUACCCAACGGACAGGUUAAAAUGUCCAAUUUUUUUGAGCUUAUUGUAUAGUUGUUCAACUAAGUAGAUAUCGAUCAAAAAAAAAAACUAAAUAGAUAAACUUUUCUUUUGAUGCUUUUAACAGAAUUUAUAGCUAGUUCAAUCGGCAAGUUUCAUCUAUAUCUUUUGUUGUUGGAUGAUUCUCUUGCAUACGUGGUAGUUCUUUUGUGGAGUUUAAUAUAUAUUUAUCGAUUUCCUUUUCCUUUGUGCUAGGAGAUUUGAAACUAAGACUUACCCCAUCCUGUCCACCCCAUCCAUUCAUCAUUUGAGCCAAGUAACUGUAUUAUUUUGAUUCCAUGCAGUUGUGAAGGAAUGUGCAUGAGGUCGUUUCAUGCCACUGUUGAAGCUGGUUCUGAAUCCAUAUGUGAAUCUCUCUGCCUUUCUAAUGAACUAGUAGAUGUACACUAUCCUUUGGUUUCUACUUUAUAUUCUCUUUUAGCUUGCAUUGUUUUGGUUGUUAAUGCUAUUUGAUAGAUUGUUGGCACGUUCUGAAGUACAUGUGAUGUAUGUAUUUUACAAGCAAUACAAAAUUUUUUAUAUGAGAACUAUCAAAAGAAGCAGCACCAGUAUUUCUCUUGUGGGGAAUUAGGUUCUUCUGAUAAAUUGUUUGGUGCAGAGGUAGGAGUUCUUCUGGAAAAUUGAACUAAUAUUUUAAUGUUGACUAUACAUUUUCCCCAUUGGAUCUUCAUAGAAUUCUUUUUGGUUAAGUUUAGCUAUUAUCAUUAUAAAAAUUGAAGGUAUUCCAUCAAGAGCAAAAUUUAGCCACUUAGUGUUUCUAGAGCAGCAUUUAAAAUAAUCUUCUUGGUUAAAUUUCAACAAAUAUUUUGAAAUGAGAUAGAAUAAUUAUUUUAAAUUAUUAAUGAGUCAAUCAAUCCCUGGAGAUGCUUAGUGUGAAGUCAUAUUGGAUGAUUUUGUGUUGCAUAAUUCUCCUCCCCUCCCUCCCCUCCCAUCCUUCUCCUCUUUUAUGGUUUUUAUUUUCCAUGAAACUUAUAUCUUAGUCUUCAUAAUGCUGUCUGUAUGCUCGGCUCCUUUGAUCUGCUAGCUUGAGUUCCAUUAGGGUGUCUAGAUGCUUCUUGGGAUAGUUUGGUCUUGCCCUUUGUAUUUUGGAUCACUCUUUGGUUUUAUGUUCCUUAUUCUUCAUGCUAUUUUGCUUAUUUUAUUUGCUUUGUAAAGAGAUUUUGAUGGUGAUCAAUUUUUUUUAUUUUUUUCUAUUUGUUCUAGAAGUCUGGUUGUUGGGUUGUAUUUUUGUUUUUCUUUUCCCAAAGACACAGAUUAGAAAUUUGAGUUUAUUUAUGAGUCUAUUCACUUCUAUUUUCCUGAUUUGAUUUUAAUAUGUAUUUCUAGAUUAUUAAUUCCUUCUAGUUUUCAAAUAAUUGAUUAGAAUUCCAUAAUUGAGGUGAAUAUAUUAGCAUGCCAAUUCACAUUUCUAUAAUGAGUUAUGUUGCUUGACUUCCUUGACCUCAUUGUGAGCAGUGAUUGGAUUUGCAUCUGAUUUGCCCAAAAUUUUACCUUCUAAAUGCCUUGUGGAUCUUUCCCUGUGUUUCUGCAACAUGUGGUCUCUUUUACCAUCCACAUUGUGUUGCAAAACUGCUCCACCGUAAGAGUGCAGCUGAGGCAGAAGAGCUUUAGAAGAAGAUAGCUGCUGGGGAAUUUUUCACAUGUCCCAUUCAUAAAUGCAUUGUCUGCAAACUGGGUGAAAAUAAGUUGGAUCCUGAUUUGCAAUUGGCAGUUUGUAGACGUUGUCCCAAGUCGUACCACAGAAAAUGCUUGCCGGUUUGCAGACGUUGUCCCAAGUCGUACCACCGAAAAUGCUUGCCGGGAAUAUUACUUUUGAAGAUCUGGAGGAUGAGGGCAUCUUGCAAAGGGCUUGGGAAUGUCUUAUUCCAAACCGUAUUUUGAUUUAUUACUUAGAACAUGAGAUUGAUGAUGAAAUUAGAACUCCAAUUAGAAACCACAUAAAGUUCCCGGAUGAUGGACAAAAUAAGGAAAGACAAGCAUUAGAGCUACUCUUGAGCAAAAGGAAAGUUCUGCAAAAGGAGAGAACUCUGGCCUCAACAGAUGCUUCCAGAAAGAGAACUCUUGGAAAGGUAUAGAAAGGGAUGGAUUUGUCGUCAAUUACCACAGUGGAUGAUUCUUCAAAGAACAGUGCGAGAAAAUUGACUGGAUCCAAUUAUUCAAAGAAACAGAAAGUGGGGGAUAUAACCAGAAAGCCUCUGAACAACACUGGCUCUACAAAAGUUAGUAAGUCCUUCACUGAUGGAAACAAGUUUUCCUUCAGGAUUAGUGUGUACAACUUGGUCAGAAUUAUUCAAAGAAACAUAAAUUUCUUAUUUUUUUAAUUUUUGGUAAGAGCAUUUAAAUAUCUAGCUGUGCUGAUUGGUGAA